rnacentral:rRNA from 1 species
GUGCCAGCCGCCGCGGUAAUACGGAGGGUGCGAGCGUUAAUCGGAAUUACUGGGCGUAAAGCGCACGCAGGCGGAUUGUUAAGCUAGAGGUGAAAGCCCCGCGCUCAACGUGGGAAUUGCCUUUAGAACUGGCAGUCUAGAGUCUUGGGGAGGGGAGUGGAAUUCCAGGUGUAGCGGUGAAAUGCGUAGAGAUCUGGAGGAACAUCAGUGGCGAAGGCGACUCCCUGGCCAAAGACUGACGCUCAUGUGCGAAAGUGUGGGUAGCGAACAGGAUUAGAUACCCGUGUAGUCCA